rnacentral:rRNA from 1 species
GGAAGUAAAAGUCGUAACAAGGUCUCCGUAGGUGAACCUGCGGAGGGAUCAUUACAAGUGACCCCGGUUUUACCACCGGGAUGUUCAUAACCCUUUGUUGUCUGACUCUGUUGCCUCCGGGGCGACCCUGCCUUCGGGCGGGGGCUCCGGGUGGACACUUCAAACUCUUGCGUAACUUUGCAGUCUGAGUAAAUUAAUUAAUAAAUUAAAACUUUUAACAACGGAUCUCUUGGUUCUGGCAUCGAUGAAGAACGCAGCGAAAUGCGAUAAGUAAUGUGAAUUGCAGAAUUCAGUGAAUCAUCGAAUCUUUGAACGCACAUUGCGCCCCCUGGUAUUCCGGGGGGCAUGCCUGUUCGAGCGUCAUUUCACCACUCAAGCCUCGCUUGGUAUUGGGCAACGCGGUCCGCCGCGUGCCUCAAAUCGACCGGCUGGGUCUUCUGUCCCCUAAGCGUUGUGGAAACUAUUCGCUAAAGGGUGUUCGGGAGGCUACGCCGUAAAACAACCCCAUUUCUAAGGUUGACCUCGGAUCAGGAGGAACCCGUGACUA